rfam:Schistosoma mattheei strain Denwood, Zambia genome assembly, scaffold: SMTD_contig0008367
AUCCGGCUGACAAGUACUAAAUAGCAUGAAACGCGUGUCCUGGAU